rnacentral:pre_miRNA from 13 species
AAGUAUCUUAUUUUUAGGAGCCGAUGUCAUUUUUUUGACAUGUCUUCUAUUUUUAGGGACC